rnacentral:rRNA from 1 species
GACGAACGCUGGCGGCGUGCUUAACACAUGCAAGUCGAACGGACUAUUUCAUUUCGGUGAGAUGGUUAGUGGCGAACGGGUGAGUAACGCGUAGACAACCUACCUCUUAGAUGGGGACAACAUCGCGAAAGCGGUGCUAAUACCGAAUGAAGUGACUUUCCUGCAUGGGAGAGAUACUAAAGGUGGCCUCUAUUUAUAAGCUACCACGGAGAGAUGGGUCUGCGUCUGAUUAGCUAGUUGGCGGGGUAACGGCCCACCAAGGCGACGAUCAGUAGCCGGUGUGAGGGGAUGAACGGCCACAUUGGGACUGAGACACGGCCCAAACUCCUACGGGAGGCAGCAGUGGGGAAUCUUCCGCAAUGGACGAAAGUCUGACGGAGCAACGCCGCGUGAGUGAAGAAGGUUUUCGGAUCGUAAAGCACUUUAAGUUGGGAGGAAGGGUUGUAGAUUAAUACUCUGCAAUUUUGACGUUACCGACAGAAUAAGCACCGGCUAACUCUGUGCCAGCAGCCGCGGUAA